GGAUGGGACUGUUAUACGUGGUCAGAAUGAAAUAUCACAUCCUACUGAUGGACAUUUGACAGUGAUAAGCAAGGGAAAUGAGACCAGCUACCUGGAGAGUACCAGCUGCAUGCUGACCCUGAAGGUGAAUCGCUUUCACCCUGACCAUAAAGAAAAGCUAUGGAUCAGAAAGAGCAACCUAACCAUUCAAAUAAAGCAGUACAAGUACUCAAUUGCUGAAGAUGAUGAGUCUUCCAAGUCA